GUACUGUCAUGUUCGAAAUAACUUUCAUUCUGGGCUGAUUUUGGUGACAGUUUCCCACUUAAUUUGUGACAAACGCUCCUAACUUUGAAGAGGUUUGCCACAAUAUAUUUUAUAUUUGAGAUUCUUCGAAGUAGCCACCCUUUCCUUGAUGACAGCUUUGCACACUCUUGGGAUUGUGCAAAGGGACCAAAACGUCCCUUUGUGUGCUCCUACCACUUCUUUGACCAGAAGCCUACAGUGGAGCAUCCUUACCCAGAGAAAUGGAUUUGCUAUGAUGCUCCAAUCAUGAAGAAGCGUCGGGCGUUGGUCAGGCAGUCAUCAGUGACAGUUCGUCUUGUCUGUUUCAAGUCAACCAGUGCAGAAUGCAGUGUCCAGUGGGCUAUCUGGCAUAGCCUGCACAGAUGAGCAGCG
rnacentral:lncRNA from 1 species